UUGCUUCUUCAGCACAUAUACUAAAAUUAGAAUAAUACAGGGAAGAUUUUCAUGCCCCCUGUGCAAAGAUGGCAUGUCAAUUUAAGAAACAUUCAGUACUUUU